rnacentral:misc_RNA from 1 species
AAAUCUCCCGGGAACAGUGGGUGUUCCCCCAUAAAUGUGAUCUCAGCUUUCUGUCGUAUCAUCAUGUUUUUAGAGUAAGAUUCUUUGCAAAACUAGCUUAGGCAUACGACAAGAAACCAAACUGCUCGCUCAAUAAUCUUUCACUCAUCCCAUUGUCCCUUUAAUCCCGCCAUUAAACUGAUCCAAGAAAGUCUCUUUAUCUUUCUUAGCUUUCACAAGCAAU